UACGUGGGGUGCAAGCGUUGUCCGGAAUUAUUGGGCGUAAAGAGCUUGUAGGCGGUUUGUCGCGUCUGCUGUGAAAUUUCGGGGCUCAACCCCGAACUUGCAGUGGGUACGGGCAGACUAGAGUGUGGUAGGGGAGACUGGAAUUCCUGGUGUAGCGGUGAAAUGCGCAGAUAUCAGGAGGAACACCGAUGGCGAAGGCAGGUCUCUGGGCCAUAACUGACGCUGAGAAGCGAAAGCAUGGGGAGCGAACAGG
rnacentral:rRNA from 1 species